GCUAACCGCUUCCGGGCUGUCCCAGCAGUCCGAUCACACAAGUCCUCCUGGCAGUGUGUGCAGAUUCCUCAUGUAACUGGUCAUGACGGAAAUAAGAGCGGCUCCGUCAUUCGUUUACAUGGGACCAGGAUGUCGCAUGUAGCAGCACAUCUUCCAGUGUUCUCCCUUUGGCUGUCAGUCCAUGAUUUGCAUUCUCAACCCAGUGGAUCUUUACAGGAGCUUUCAUCUUACCGACAACAUUAGUCAUCAAGGUCUAAAACAGGAUUGAGAUAAAAAAAGAAAACAUCUGGUAUGUGACAUCUGACAUAGUGAGCUUGGAUGAAGCGUCAGGGAGACACCAACCGUUGUUGGGAGGAGCGCAGGACUUCUCACACUACCUGGAUUCAGAUUUUAUGAUGGAGAUAUAAAAUAAACUUUUAUUUGGUGAGCGUCAUGGAUAUUAUUCUUUUUAUGAAUAUUUUCAGUGAACCUGUGUGCAUUUUAUAGAACUCCACCAGAGAUACAGGGGAA